AUUGAACGCUGGCGGCAUGCCUUACACAUGCAAGUCGAACGGUAACGGGCCUUCGGGUGCCGACGAGUGGCGAACGGGUGAGUAAUGCAUCGGAACGUACCUUUCAGUGGGGGAUAACGUAGCGAAAGUUACGCUAAUACCGCAUAUUCUGUGAGCAGGAAAGCAGGGGAUCGCAAGACCUUGCGACGAUUGAGGGGCCGAUAGCAGAUUAGCUAGUUGGUGAGGUAAAGGCGCACCAAGGCGACGAUCUGGAGCGGGUCUGAGAGGAUGAUCCGCCACGUUGGGACUGAGACACGGCCCAGACUCCUACGGGAUGCAGCAGUGUGGAAUGUUGGACAAUGCGGGCAACCCUGCUCCAACCAUGCCGCGUGAGUUGAGAAGCCCUUCGGGUUGUAAAGCUCUUUCGGCCGGAAAGAAAUCGCACAGGCUAAUACCUUGUGUGGAUGACGGUACCGGAAUAAGAAGCACCGGCUAACUACGUGCCAGCCGCCGCGGUAAGAC
rnacentral:rRNA from 1 species